rnacentral:tRNA from 1 species
AGCAGAGUGGCUCAGUGGAAAGAGCACGGGCUUUGGAGUCAGAGGGCACGGGUUCGAAUCCCAGCUCGGCCA